AGUGAUUGCACAAGUGAGCGGGUGAAAUAUAUGCUGUUGACAUUUGGCCAAGAGAAAAUACAUUUCCAACUUGACAACAAUCUUCUUUGUUCCGGAUAAGAUCCAAUUUUUCACCGGAAGUUCCUGUUCGAAUCGCCGAUCAAAUUUGAGCCCUAACCAUGUCCGGCAACCUCGGCUGCGUGAUCGUCGCCGUUGACGGCAGUGAGGAGAGCAUGAGCGCCUUGACCUGGGCUCUCGACAACCUCAAGCUCCGAUCCUCCUCUACUCCCGAUUCCACCUCCGCCGGCCACUUCGUCGCCCUCCACGUCCAAUCUCCGCCGUCAAUCGCCGCUGGCCUCACUCCCGCCGCCAUCCCCUUCGGUGGCCCCAGCGAUUUGGAGGUGCCGGCGUUCACGGCGGCGAUCGAGGCCCACCUGAAGCGGAUCACAGAGGCCAUUUUGGCACACGCUUUGAGGAUUUGCUCCGAAAAGAAGGUGAAUGUGAAAACCCAAGUGGUAGUUGGGGAUCCGAAGGAGAAGAUUUGUGAAGCUGUUGAGAAUUUGCAUGCUGACUUACUUGUCAUGGGCUCCAGAGCUAUUGGCCCUCUUAAAAGAAUGUUUUCCUAGGGUCAUAUGAGGAAUUGGUGGUGGGAAGCUUUGUGUUCAAAUCUUAAAUGGUGGACUGAAAAUGGGGACAUACAUUGUGAUUCUCAAUUAAGGAACCAAGAUAAGAUUUGCAUGAGGAAUUUAACUGAUGCUCGAAGCUGGCAGUCAGUCAAUUCUAGGAGGUGAAAGGGAAAUAUUAGACUAAGGAGAGAAGAUUGGAAUGCCCCAGAACCUUAUAAUAUCUAAACUUUCUAUGGAAAUACAAAAGAGAAGAACAUAUGGACUUAAUAGAAGUAGCGUGAAUCUAAGAAUUCCUAUAAGAAGAGGUCACUUAGCGAUAAAAAGGAUGUUUCUUGGAAGUGUGAGCAACUAUUGUGCUAACUAUGCACAAUGCCCCGUGAUCAUUUCCAAGGCAAAGGGCGCUGCGUCAUAAGGAAAGGCAUCCAUUUCAGUGGGAAUCUAUAUCCCUUGCGCUACUGCUCAGCAAGAUCAUCGGCAAAUAGACUGCAUCUGGAUCUUCUUAGUAAACAUUGCUUCUGGAUCUACUGUGUAGGACCAUCUUUUUAUACUAUGUAAUAUUUAGAAGAAGGUACAAAUACAAUUGUUUUCUUUUGGUGGAGAAAAGUACUGUGGAUAUGAACUGUAAAUAUAUGAAUACUGUGCAUUUAAGUUGAUGUUUGAUACAAUACAAUGGUCCAAGACAAUUGAUUCUUGACCAACAGUCUUGAACCAUCUUUCUA